AUAAUUAAUGAACUAAUAUUCAUGUUGCAAACACGUGAGCAGCUUUGUGUCAUCCUCUGCUUUACAAAAACAAUACUUUUAUUUUUGUAAAUAUUAACAUACUACGUUUUUUUUUUAUAACAAAAGUGUAGUAAUCAUUGCUUAUACAUUAUAAUUUAAAAGUGUUAUUCAACUAUGUAGUAAUCAUGUACAUGUAUUUACAGCAGGUGUAUACAGACUUUGCCAUGCAGAGUUCAGUGAAAAGAGCUUAUACAGUGCACAGGUUGAGAAUGUCAUGAUGAACCACCCCAUAAGACAUUUUUCAGGAAAUGCAGCAAGAUGACAGUACUUCCAGUACUUCCAUGGGUCCCAAAUCCUUACUUCAGAGGUUGAGAGGACAAAGACACAUUCCUUUUCUGUCUGGACAAGGACUGAGUUUUUAUGGGUCAAUUAUUCUUCCAAAGAAACAUCUUGUUCAUGGUCAAGUUGAAGGCACCCCAUUGCUUUCAGUGUAGGGUAUAAAAGGUUGUUGAUGCUUGGUUAUUAAUUGCUGCAUUAUGUAGGCUACUUUAUCUUAAGAAGCAAUGUCUCUUUAUGUCUUCUUAAAUACACAGUAAGUAUUACAAUACAUAUAAUGACUGAAUCAUAAUGAACAUAUAAACACAGCAUAUCACCUUUCGGCAAAAAAAAUAUCUAUGUCCCAAAGUACAACAAGAUUGUACAUAAAAACAAAAACUGUUAUGGCUUUUUGCAGUUUUGCGGUUUUCUAUGUAUUGUUUAUUAUACACUGUAUAUAUAUAUUAUAUUUUUUACGUGCUAUAUUUUGUACUAUAUCAGUUUUCUAUGUAUUGUUUAUUAUACACUGUAUAUAGUGAUAUUAUUUAUUGUUUUUCUACAGUAUUCUAUUGUUGUAAUGUUUUGGUAUUCUAUGCAUUGUAUUGUUAUACACCGUGUAUACUAAUAUUAUAACAAAGCAUUCUUUUUCUACAUAUUGUUCUGUGCUGAUUUUUAAGUGCACUCCAAUUUUUCACAUUAAUA